CCUACGGGAGGCAGCAGUGGGGAAUAUUGCACAAUGGGGGAAACCCUGAUGCAGCGACGCCGCGUGAGUGAAGAAGUAUUUCGGUAUGUAAAGCUCUGUCAGCAGGGAAGAAAAUGACGGUACGUGACCAAGAAGCCCCGGCUAACUACGUGCCAGCAGCCGCGGGAAGACGUAGGGGGCAAGCGUGAUCCGGAUUUACUGGGUGUAAAGGGAGCGUAGACGGGAGGGCAAGUCUGGAGUGAAAGGGGGGGGCUCAACCCCCGGACGGCUCUGGAAACUGCCAGGCUGGAGUGCAGGAGAGGUAAGUGGAAUGCCUAGUGUAGCGGUGAAAUGCGUAGAUAUUAGGAGGAACACCAGUGGCGAAGGCGGCUUACUGGACUGUAACUGACGUUGAGGCUCGAAAGCGUGGGGAGCAAACAGGAUUAGAUACCCUUGUAGUC
rnacentral:rRNA from 1 species